CCUGUUUACUGCAUACCAGUUUUUCCACAUUACAGAUCUGUCAAUUUAGAGAGUGCAUUAUAGUUGGGUCCAGUUUAUGUAUGUGGCUGAGUGUGAACCUCUUGAGUUUGGACUAGUGAUUAAUAUCCCGAAACUAUAAUAGUAUCUUCAAAUUUUGCUUCUCUUCCCACUUGCCAAACUGCUUUCCUUGAUCAUAGCAUGAAUCCUUGAGGCAUGAGCUCUAACAUAUUCACAAGUACUACACU
rnacentral:misc_RNA from 1 species